rnacentral:lncRNA from 1 species
UACAAAAUAUGGUUUCUCAACUCACUCAAGAGCUUGCCGAACAGAGAGAGAGGAAGAAGAAGAUGGAGAAGGCAACGACAUCACAAUUCAAGAAGCUGCAGCAGCAGAUGAGCUAUUUCAUUCAGAUUACGGGGAAUAUUCCUCCGUGUCCUGGUGAUGCAGUUCAGGCUGCAAAGGGUCUGGGCCCACUGGAUGAUUUCAGCAUGGAUGAUGAUAUGGAAGACGAUGACGAAUUAGAUGAUACUGACUCUUAGGUUUUUGAUUUUUGUAUGUGUUGUACUUUGAAACUAUUGUUGUAGUAUUUUCGUAUUUUGUUGGACAUUUUGUAUGUCCUAUACACUUUUGAAAGCAUUUUUGUAUUGUUGUUGUUGGAUCUGCUGUAUUUGGGUUGAAAGCAUUUUUGUAUUGUUGUUGUUGCAUAUGCUGUAUUUGGGUUUAGAAUUUUAUUUUUUAAAAAAAUACCCAGAAAAACCGACCACAAAUGAUCAAUUUUGAAAAUAUUUUUUUGCAGAAAACCUACCACUUGUUAUAGGUUUUUUAAUAAAUUAAUUAAUUAAUUUAAUAAAAAACCUUUCACUUGUGGUCGGUUGUUUAAUAAAUUAAUUAAUUUAAUAAAAAACCUUCCACUUGUGGUCGGUUGUUUAUUAAAUUAAUUAAUUAUUUUAAUUAAAAACCUUCCACAUGUGGUAGAUUUUUUUUCUCUAAAAUUAUUUUUUCUAACUUUAAUAAAAUACUAAUGAAUUUUAAAUAUAUAUACAUAUUUUUAAAAAAACUGACCACUUGUGAUCGGUUUUGGAAAAACUACCACAACUUUUUCGACCACAGAUUUUGAUCACUUUUGUGGUCGGUUUUUUAUAAAAACCUUCCAUAAGUGAAAGAUUUUUGUGGUCGGUUUUAGCCUUUUUUUUAGUAUUGAGAGAGAGUCUAUUCUCACGUGCAUUUGUUUUUUCCCACUUAUUUUCAUUAGUUUCAUUUAGCCACACGACCUAGUACAUAUUGUUGAUCCAGAAUCAAUUAUAAUACAAGACAUUACAACUGUAAUGACAAGCAUAUGUAACAGAGGCGGAGUCAGGAUUUCAAAUAAGGGGUUCAAUAUUCAAAGAAAACUAAGUCGAAGGGGGGUUCAAUACCUACAAUAACCAUAUAAAAAAUAAUUUUAAUCAUGUAUAAAUAGUUUAUUUUUUCGUCGAAGGGCCCCUAAAGAGGGCUGGCUCCGCCUCUGAUAUGUAAUACAAAUGCCCUUUAAUUUGAAAUAUUACUAAUGUUAAUAUAUCGUGAAGUUUAUAUCUUGCGGUGUGAAAUUUUAUAUUUUUUCAAGAAUAAACUUCAAUGUAAUUUCAAAUAUAUAUAUUUUUUUUACCUUUGUCUCAUCUGAUAUCAGAAAAAUGAUUAUUGCAAUUUUAACAGAAGUUUCUCUGAUUCAUGAAUUCAGACUCAUAAAAAUCUGACUUUAUUUUUAUUGCUUCUUUAGAAAUUUAGUUUUGUGUCAAUGCAAAAUAAAUUUAGAUUUUUAUGAACAUGAAUCCAUGAACCAGAGAAGUUUAUGCUAAAACUGCAAUAAAUCAUUUUUCUGAAUAUUUUGGGGAGUCCUUUCAAAGUUAAAGAUUUAAAGAUAAUUUGUACUAAACUAAUAUGCAUAAAAUUGUAUUGACGUUUAAACCUAUCAAUGUCUUUUCUAUUUAAUAAGGUUAUAGUUUACUCAUCAGCAUUCGAAGCGAUGGAUUGUUCAGUGAUUUUUACUAUUUAUUUAUGCAAAAUUUUAUCAAAGAAACCAUAUUCAUAAAUAGUGUUUAUUUUGAUAUUUUGGAAUAGUCUAUUUAUUUAGUGAAUCCAUAUCUUGAGGUAGAUCUACUUCCUCAAGUUUAGUUCUUUUGGUACUGAUUUCUCCCAUAUCCAUUUUUAUAAAAUCCUUAUCCCUAUGCUGAAAAUUUCACAUCUCUUACUCAAUGACUAUGAAAAUUUCUAGGCUCUGAUACCAUUAAUAACAAGUAGAAAUAGUAAAAAUUAAAUGAUAAUACUUCUGUGUGAUAUUCGAUAAAUUAUACUGCUAAUUUAGCAGUAAAUAUUGCAGAAAGAAAUUAAAAGAAUGAAUCAAUAACAGAGUAUCUUAAACAAAACUUUUAAUAUAACUAAACUGUGGAGAUUCAAGGAAAAUAUCAUCCAUUUCAAGUAAAAAAUUAAACUUCAGCAUCUAAAAAAUAAGCUUUAAUCCAUAGUUUUUGAUCAACGAUAAAGCACCUAAAUUUAGACUUUUAAAUACUGAAAAAAUAUGAAGAUUCACAAAAAGAAUUAUAAAAUCCAGCUUAUCAAAAGUACAAGAAAAUGAUAAAAUUGUGACGGAAUAUUUGAGACGGAACAUUUCUGUCACAAAUUGUGAGAAAUUUGUAACUGAUUUUCAAUAUCAUUUUUGUGACAGAUAUAUUUUUGUCAUAAGUUAAAGUUGAUGAGAAAAAUAAUAACUUUCUGUUACAAAUCUGUGACUAAAUUUGUGACAGAUUGGGUAGUCCAUCACAAUAAAAUUAAAAUAAAAGAAAAUCACUAUAAUAAAAAAUUAUGACAGAUUUAUUCCGUAACAAUAAAAAUUAAAAAAAUUAACUAAUUUUAAAAAUAUUUUUGACGGAUUUCAUUUCGUAACAAAAGCAGAAUUUGCAUAUUUUUCAUUUUUCCUCAAUUUUUUUUUUACAUCUUUUCAUUUUCCCUCAAUUUUUUUUACAUUUUUUCAUUUUCUCUCAAAACCUAGAGAAUACCUUCACUUCACUCUCAUUAUGUGUAACAUUUUGCACCAUUAGUCAAGGUUGAUGUUCACGAUUUGGUCGGAUUUUACUGCUUGCGUAACAUUUUGUAUCAUUAGACAAGGUGGGUGUUCAAGAUUUGGUUGGAUUUUGAUGGAAACUUGUUAAAGGUCGGAUUUUGUUGUGUCUUCAUCUAACAUGUGAGUAUUGUACUUGAUUUUUAUUUUGUUUCAAUGUGAAUUUUGGGGGUGGUGAUUGGUGGUGCGAUUGUGAGUUUUUGGUUUGUGGUGCUUGGGGCUUUUGUAAUAUUGAUCAGUUCACUUUAGUAUCUUGUUCAGGUUUGCUCGUACCUAUCAUGAAUGGUUGUUUGUUUCAGCUGAGUGUAAGGUUGCACACUUUGAUCCUUGUAGGAAAGAGCACAAACGAACAUGUAAUAUAGGAAAAAUGAGUAUAUCUUUAGAUAUCCAAUCGAUCUUUUGAAGUUUUAGAAUUAGAGUGAGGCUUUAGUUAUUGCUGCAAUGAUGGAUAAGCUAUGGGUACUCAAACAAAGGGCAACAUUAAGAAUGCUUACUAUUUAGAGGAAAGAGAGCAGAUGACAAAAAGGGAGAGAAUAUUAUAAGUAAGCAAAAUGAUAAAUUCCAGAAUGAAUCUUUAUUUGCCUUGUAAUGGAUUCUUUUCCAUUUUCUUACGAAAGUAAUGGACCAAAUAAUUAUGAGACCGUUCAAGAACCAUAGCUUUACUGUUAGUAAUUUUAAACACAUUAUAAAAGCAUCCGCAUAUUUGGAGAAGGGUUAAAAAUAUACUGAUAUUUCUCUGUUGGCUGAUCUUAGUCGGAACAAUAAAAAAAAAUCUUAAAAUGCUUAUUCUGGAUGGGUUCUGCACAUCUAUGAGUUAAGGAUUAUAUUAUUUUAGGAUCUCUUCAAGUGUGUGGGGAUGGUAAAGAGCAUCUUUCGCCAAAAUUAUAUUCUAGAACUGUUCUUUUAUGACAGUUCAGCGAGCAAAUGCAAAGGUUGAUCUGAGUUGAUUUUCAUAGUACUAUGGGUUGCGAGCUUUGGUAUCUAAUUGUUACCCUUUAACUUGGUUUAGUGAGCAAAUACAAAGGUUGAUCCAAGUUGAUUUUCACAGUACAGAUCUUAGAUACUACUGCAUUAUCAAAAAGAAAAAGGAAAUUACAAAUCUUAGAUAUUAUUUGGGGAAAGGUUUGCAUACACACUAUCAUUCCUAGACAUCACUUGUGGAAUGUCACUAUAUUUGUUGUUUAAGGGGGGUAUACUAUCAUUCCUAGAAACCACUUGGUAGGAUAUACAUUGCUGACUUUAAAUAAAUUAUCGUUGAACCAAGGGUCUAUUAGCUAACUUGUUGAUGACAACAAUAUAAUCAGUAUAGUCCCACAGGUGGAGUCUAUGGAGUGAGGUGUGCACCUUACCCCUACCUUCGUGGGGUAGAGAAAACGUCUCCAUAAAUUUAGUUGAAUCACCCAACUAUCUGUCCUUUCAUAUAUCAGCCUUACUUAUGACUUUUCUUAGCUAUCUAAGAUUUCUUUAAUCUGGCUUUAAGGUGAAUCUCCUUUAUUGUGAGAUACUGCCUUAUAUAAACACUGCUCAAUUCAUACAAAGUGAAAAUUUACACUAGAAAUAGCUUUCAUCGGCCACUUUCAGACCUUUAUCUUUAGAAUUUAGAAUAGGUUCAAUCUUGUUAUUUGCUUUUCGAAGUGCCAAGAAACAUAUAUAGAAUAUCUUUAACAACCAUCUCAUGUUUAUAUUCUAGAUAAUAUUUGACAAAGCUGGAAGACAUAUUGGGCUUCUGAUGAGUAUAAGAACAAAUUUCAUAGUGCAACUCAAAAUUGAUGUAGUGAAACUAGUGGUCCGAACACUGGUCCAAGCAAGCAUACCGGUGGUUCCAAGUCAACAGUGGAUUAUACUAUAAAAUUGAUAAAUUUCGUACUUUAAUAGAUUAAUUUUUUGACUUUAUUUCUGAUUUUAAGGUUGAACUUUUUUUCAGGCAACCGAAAUGGGUCGUGAACCAAAUUCAUGAGAGAUAUUUAAGAAGUUGAAUCAAAAGAAGGAUGACAGUUUUUUGAUGCCAAGUGGAAGAGCAUUAAUGUAAGUUUGCUAAUAAGCUUCUCUUUCUUUAGAUCUUGAAAGCAUGAGAUCAAUAUAGCUCUUGCAAGUAGAGUGACAUUGUUGUUUGUAGCUUGAAGUAGUGAAGUCAUGUGGGGCCAAUUUUGAUUCACUACACUUGUUGAAAUCUUGUACUCUUAAAAAUCUAGUUUUUAUUGAAAUCUUGAAUUCUAGUGAAGUCGUGUGUGGCUUAUUUCAAUUCACUAGCAUUGUUGUUGACAUCUUGUUGUUCUUGUUAUGGUUUUCUUCUUAUUUUUUUUCAUUGAAAUCUUAAAGAUUUAGAGAGGAAUAUUUCUGAGAGUGAUUUAAGAAAGCCAUUGCUUUUAAAGCAUUUGGAACCUAACUGAGCAUUUGAAUAAUCCAUUAGAUUAAGGGGAUAGCCUAGGCUCCAAAAUAAUUUGUAACUACAUCAUCUUUUUAGGGUACCGUGUUGAGGAUUCUGAGUUAUUUCGUGGAUACUUCAUAGUUAGUGGUGGUGCUUGGUACAUCGAGUGAUCCUCAGGCUAGUGUUGGGAUUUGUUGUUGUGCUACAAAUCUCUUUAAUAGUUUUAGAGUAUAAGUUUCUCAAGUCGACCAGAGAUACUCUUUUGUUAUUUCCUACAUGGCAUGAGCCGGUGUAGGUAUUUUUAAAGGAUUGAUUGUACUACGUCUUUUGCAAUCAGAGAACUUAGUAGCAACUAGAUCUUUAUUUCUCUAGCUUGUUAAUCAUGUAAGGACUAAAGAGAGGGAAUGUACUAAAACAUAUGGAGGUGACAGUAAGUGUCCAUGUAAGUAGUUUACUGUUAGUGGUAUUCCAUCUAGGAGUAGACUUUUGCUUUAGAAAAGUAAAACAUCCAGUAGUAGAUUACUUUAUGAAAGCGGUUUUACCAAAGUUGUCAUUUAUUCUUCUUCUUCGGAUCUUCAGUGAUGGAUAAACGUGUUUUUGGGGAGAGUGCAAAUAGCAUAGGGUAUGAUUCCCACGGGACGAUAUACUUGGAGCAGUAAUCUACUACUGAAUGUUGCUUUAGGUGGCCAUUCAAAUUUUUUGACUACUUUACUUGGUACAUGGCCAACAGUACAGUAGACAGAUCUUAAAGUGCUAGAAUAUUACUGUUAAGAAGAAAACUUGGCACUUGGACCAACUAAUUUUCAUUGCAAAUGAGAUGAGUGAAUAAUGUAUUCGAGCACGCCCCUAAAUAGAACAAAAGCUUUCUCUAAUCCAGAUACAUAAAUAGGUUAAAUUCAGAUAGUUCAGAUCAUAUAUCUACAAGGAAUAGGGUGUGGAUUUAGAACACAGAAAAGCCAUUACGCGUGCGUCAGUCUUGGGGAUCAUUCAUCCUUCCCAAAAUCCCAACAAGUAGAGGUAGUUGGUGAAUUUACAUAAUUAAGUUAUUUCAUUUCACAUUCCACUUGAAAUUCAUCAUAUGUAAGAAAUUUCCUCAUCAGAUUUCCUGGGGAAAAGGGAGAUUUAAUAAAGCAAAAGACACAAAUGGCCACAAGAGAAAGACCCUUACUCUUGAGAUACAUGGUAUAGUUAUUAAGAUGCUGAUUUAGAGAAGUAAAACAUCCACUUUAUAAUAGCUCCAGCCCUUUUAACUAGGAAAAAUAAAUAGUUUUAGCAUUUUUAUUUUUAUACUGUUUUUGUUGGCUGAUUAUUUGUAUUUUUUAGGAUAAAAUGGAGGCUGUCAUAGCUACUGCUCUUUAUGGAUCAACAGAUGAUUCAUCAGAAGAUCAAGAACUCAAUAUAAAUUGCAUGUACUUUGAUAUUGUGAGUGGAGCAAAAAAAUGAUGUGUAUAUGAAUUGGACUCUCAAGCUUCAACCUUGUAUAAAGAUAUGACAUGCAAUUUGCCUGUAGUGUCCGAUCAUGUUGCCAAAGAGCGCAUCAAAAUACUUGAGAAAGAGGUGUCGUAUAUGAGAGAAAAUCAAUAGAAAAUUCUUCAAGAGCGUGUAGAGUUGGAGGUGCAACAACGAGUAGAGCAAGAGGUUUUCUGUUUGAGGCAGCAAAGUGAUGAUCGAUUCAAAUAUAUGGAGGAGCAAUGGUCUCGCAUGAUGAGCGAUAUGUCAUUAUCUUCUCACUCAUUUAGUAAUCCUACUCUCCCUAAUAGGGGCUCAUCUAAUGCUUAAGUGUUUAAUAUUUUGAGACUUUAGUUACUUGAAGUGUCGACUUGAACAUUGUCGCACUUUUUUUGGAUAGUUAUAUGCUUUAACUUUUAAACAUUGGUAGACUUUUGCUUAUUGACGUUGUGAUUUUGCAUGUUUUAAUUAGCUUCAGACGUUUUUUUAUUAUAAAUCUUCUAUUAUGUUUUUUUUAUAUAUAUAGUGUGAGAAAGAGCAUAAUAUUUCGUAAUUAUUAUUUAUUAAAGUUAAAAAUUUAAAUAAAAUUUGUGACAGAUUUAAUUUGUCACAGUCUAUCCUAAAUUUGUUACUAAUAUAGGUAAGAGAGUCAUAUUGUGACUAAAUUAGUCUGUCACAAAUUAUUUGUAACGAAAUAUAUUGUCACAAUUGUGGUGACUAGGUUUGAAACUUUGUUACGGAAAUUAUUCUGUCGCUAUUUUAUAACGGAAUAUUUUGUCAAAAAUCUGUUAUAAAUUUGUGACGAAAUUUAAGUCAAAUUUAAGGAUUUAUAUUGUGACGAACGAUCUGUCUCAGUUUCAUCACAAUAAUUUUGUGACGAAUUUAAUUUUCGUCACAAUGAUUUUAUGACCAAAGGUUUUGAGAUGCACAUUUUUCCAUCACAAAUUCAUCACAAUCAAUUAUUUAUGACAGAUUUGUGACUAAAAUCUCUGUCACAAUUUAGAUAAUUUCUUGUAGUUUAGUUUAAAUUCAUAUCCCACACUAACCCUCGUCAAAUUUGAGAUACAACUUUAAGACACCAAGAGAUUAAGCCAUAGACAUAAAAUAGAACAAAAAUUUAUGUAUUCUUUAAGAUUUUUUUAAAAAUUCUUCAUAUGGAUCGAAUUUCUCAUUUUCAAAAAUCCAUUUAUGGAGUUUUUGAUUUUAAACCCUUCAAACAGAAAUUUAUGAAAAAAUUUAGAGAUGAAAUUUAAAGGAAAUCUUAAAAUCAUGGAAUAUAAGUAUACCUUUAUAUAGAAAGGCAGAGAUGAAGCUUUUGGCGAAGCAGACAGAGUCGCAGAUAAAGACUUCACUAAAAGAACCCUACAUCACCGGAGAUGAAGACCAUCAGAGCCUUUUGCUAAAUUUUUUGCUUAAAUCACCCUCAAAAUCUGCUUUCUAGAAAAUUUCGCCUUCACCUUUGGGAAUUCAAUUUUGGAUAUGUAUAAAAUGUGCCCGCUCCUAGGCAGCUUAAAGAGAAA